GACGAACGCUGGCGGCGUGCUUAACACAUGCAAGUCGAACGGUGAAGCGCCUUCCUUUUUGGUGGGUGUGGAUGAGUGGCGAACGGGUGAGUAACACGUGAGUAACCUGCCCCCUUCUUCUGGAUAACCGCAUGAAAGUGUGGCUAAUACGGGAUAUUCUGGGUCUGUCGCAUGAUGGGUCUGGGAAAGAUAUUGUUUCGGUGGGGGAUGGGCUCGCGGCCUAUCAGCUUGUUGGUGGGGUGGUGGCCUACCAAGGCGGUGACGGGUAGCCGGCCUGAGAGGGUGGACGGUCACACUGGGACUGAGACACGGCCCAGACUCCUACGGGAGGCAGCAGUGGGGAAUAUUGCACAAUGGGCGCAAGCCUGAUGCAGCGACGCCGCGUGAGGGAUGGAGGCCUUCGGGUUGUGAACCUCUUUCGCCAGUGAAGCAGGCCUGCCUCGUUUGUGGGUGGGUUGACGGUAGCUGGAUAAGAAGCGCCGGCUAACUACGUG
rnacentral:rRNA from 1 species